GAUGAACGCUGGCGGCGUGCCUAAUACAUGCAAGUCGAGCGAACGGACGAGAAGCUUGCUUCUCUGAUGUUAGCGGCGGACGGGUGAGUAACACGUGGAUAACCUACCUAUAAGACUGGGAUAACUUCGGGAAACCGGAGCUAAUACCGGAUGAUAUCUUGAACCGCAUGGUUCAAAAGUGAAAGACGGUCUUGCUGUCACUUAUAGAUGGAUCCGCGCUGCAUUAGCUAGUUGGUAAGGUAACGGCUUACCAAGGCAACGAUGCAUAGCCGACGUGAGAGGGUGAUCGGCCGCAUUGGAACUGAGACACGGUCAAGACUCCUACGGGAGGCAGCAGAAGGGAAUCUUCGGCAAUGGGCGAAAGCCUGACGGAGCAACGCCGCGUGAGUGAUGAAGGUCUUGGGAUCGUAAAACUCUGUUAUUAGGGAAGAACAUAUGUGUAAGUAACUGUGCACAUCGUGACGGUACCUAAUCAGAAAGCCACGGCUAACUACGUG
rnacentral:rRNA from 1 species